rnacentral:lncRNA from 1 species
UCCGGUGGACCUAGCAAUUAUUGUCUAUGAUCGUAGGGAGCUGUACCAAGUCCUACCCUAUUAGGUGGGACUCAUAUUGGCAAGCAUGCGGACAUAUAUACGGGGCCCCACCAUAUAUGCGUGAAAACAAUGCAAGCCGAAAACGUUGCUGGGAGUGGGGUUGGGUGCUGCGGUACCACACCUCUGCAGCCUCUUGGCGUUGAGGUAGGCAGCAGCGUGACCUCCCUUCCAUCCAUCCCAAUCCCGGCAGCCAUCCCGGGAGGCACAUUUUCUAUGCAUAAUUUUAUAAAAAAUUGACGUGACGUCUCAGAUAUUGUAGCCAAACAUGCAAGAGAGAGAAUUUAGAAAGAGAGGGAGGAAGAGAUCACAUUCAGGCGAUGCCAGCAAUCUCUCUCUCACUCCUUCCGUCCCUCUCUGUCCUUAGCCUGACGGAGGACACGAAGCUCGAGACAGUGAAAUGACGUUUCGGAUUUCCAUGAAGAGCCACGAUAAAGGACAUGACCAUGAAACGUCGCCCGGGCUGCCAUAGCCUUUCCCGUGGACGUGCUUUAAGGAAAUUAUGAAAAGGCC